UACGUAGGGUCCGAGCGUUGUCCGGAAUUAUUGGGCGUAAAGAGCUCGUAGGCGGUCUGUCGCGUCGGUUGUGAAAACCUGGGGCUCAACUCCAGGCCUGCAAUCGAUAUGGGCAGACUAGAGUUCGGUAGGGGAGACUGGAAUUCCUGGUGUAGCGGUGAAAUGCGCAGAUAUCAGGAGGAACACCGGUGGCGAAGGCGGGUCUCUGGGCCGAAACUGACGCUGAGGAGCGAAAGCGUGGGGAGCGAACAGG
rnacentral:rRNA from 1 species